CGAAGACGAAGAAGAAGAAGAAGAAGAAGCUGAUGAUUAUGAUUCAUUGCCAUUUGCCUGUUUCAUUUGUCGGCAGCCUUUGGUGGAUCCAGUCAUGACUCAAUGCUGGGCACUACUUCUGUGAGCAUUGUGCUUUGAAGCACCAUGCAAAGAACAAGAAAUGUUUUGUGUGCAUUUAAAAAACAAAAACAGCAGAAAAAGAGAAACUCAAAAAAAGAAAAGAGGACAGAAAGUGGGG
rnacentral:misc_RNA from 1 species